rnacentral:rRNA from 1 species
UGUAUCCUACGGGGGGCAGCAGUGAGGGAUAUUGGUCAAUGGUGGAAACCCUGAACCAGCAACGCCGCGUGAGGGAAGACGGUUUUCGGAUUGUAAACCUCUGUCCUCUGUGAAGAUAAUGACGGUAGCAGAGGAGGAAGCUCCGGCUAACUACGUGCCAGCAGCCGCGGUAAUACGUAGGGAGCGAGCGUUGUCCGGAUUUACUGGGUGUAAGGGGUGCGUAGGCGGGUAAGCAAGUCAGAAGUGAAAUCCAU